CCUGAUGGCUCAGUGGUAAAGAAUCUGCCUGCAGUGCAGGAGACCCAGGUUCAAUCCCUGUAUCAGGA
rnacentral:tRNA from 1 species